GUGCUUUCUUGGAAGCACAUAUACCAAAAUUGGGAUGAUACAGAGAAGAUUAUCAUGGCCCCUGUGAAGGAUGUCACUUGAAUUUGUGAAGCAUUCCAUAUGUUC